rnacentral:rRNA from 1 species
ACGCUCGACACCUACGGGAGGCAGCAGUAGGGAAUAUUGCGCAAUGGGGGAAACCCUGACGCAGCAACGCCGCGUGGAGGAUGACACUUUUCGGAGCGUAAACUCCUUUUCUUAGGGAAGAAUUCUGACGGUACCUAAGGAAUAAGCACCGGCUAACUCCGUGCCGGCAGCCGCGGUAAUCUGAGCCGGGCUGGCAGGC